GAUGAAGAACGUAGCGAAAUGCGAUACGUGAUGUGAAUUGCAGAAUUCAGUGAAUCAUCGAGUCUUUGAACGCACAUUGCGCCCCCUGGUAUUCCGGGGGGCAUGCCUGUCCGAGCGUCAAUGCUGCCCUCAAGCACGGCUUGUGUGUUGGGCCUCCGUCCUCCUCCCGGGGGACGGGCCCGAAAGGCAGCGGCGGCACCGCGUCCGGUCCUCGAGCGUAUGGGGCUUCGUCACCCGCUCUUGUAAGCCCGGCCGGCGCUUGCCGACACAUCAAUCUUUUUUCCAGGUUGACCUCGGAUCAGGUAGGGAUACCCGCUGAACUUAAGCAUAUCAAUAAGCGGAGGA
rnacentral:misc_RNA from 1 species